UUCCUCGAAGACGGAAAGGGUGGUUACCAAGGAAUGACAUAACAAAUUCAAGUAUAAACAGUUGGUCAGUUGGGAAUAGAGUGCAGAAAAGUGAAGUUCGGUUCGUUUUAACAGUUUUAAGGAUGGUAUGACUAAUAAUUAACGCUGGGCGCUAUGUUGCCAGGAAAAUAGCCUCAGCGUUUUCAAGACCUAACAGGCAAGCUCGGUCUGCAGAAGCUAUGGAUGAAUCAUCCCCCAACACCGCAGCCUCUCAGAACCAUCCACCACCAGCCACAGAUACGAGCACCCUUUCAUCUGCUUACGAAUGGAAGGAGACCGAGUAUUCUAACGGCACUAUCAGUCGUGAAAAUGGAGAAGGGAAAGCGAGACAGAGAGCGUUUUAACUGAGAGACUUAUUGAGAGAAUGGAUUUACAGUGCUUACACGUAUUUAUCGAUAGUACAGUGUUUGUACAGCUCUAUCAUACUCAUCCAGGAUAUCAUACUCAUGUUUCCAGUAGAUGUAGUUUAUAUCUUUUAAGUUUGAUCUUCAUUAUUUUCGUAGCAAAUUUUAAGCACUCUUAGCUCUGAAAUAAGUAUGAUGUAAUAGGUCUAUUUAACCCCUGGCAGGGAGGGUGAAGGGGGUGGGGAAAGAAGAGGUUUAGUGAAGGUGGCUGGAGUUUAUUUCAGUCAUAAAUAAGCUAGUCCAUAUGAAGCCCUGGGCUGAGUAAUAGGGAAUGAUCAAUGGUGCUGCUUGAAGUUUGUGAGAUUGGACUUUGAGUGGUGGGGUCUUAAAAGAGAAGAGGAGGGAUGGGAGGGGGGGCUACAUAGAGCUUUUGCGGUGAGUUCAAUACAUGCGUGUCUGGUAGAAUACCUUAUCACUAGCUACAUAAAGUACAUGACGUUCAUUGAUGAGACCCUUCAGCAUGCUAGCUUCUAGUUUCCAUUGUUUUGAAACCUUCUGUCUAUUCAGUUAUGUUGUCAUGAGAUAGCCUGUUUUGGAUCACUGUUCAUUUAUUCCAACUGGUGACAAUGAUGGAAUUGCUGCAAACUUUCUUUUGGUACGAAUGUAGCUUUACUUGAUGAAUUUCUCUAGUUGUUAUGGUGAGCGGUGUUCAUUACAAGAAAGAGUGGAACUGUCUGUAGUUCAACCAUGGUGUGUGCUGAAGCCACGAAUGAAAAAUUCGAUUUGUAAAACUAGUACAUGUGUAUGUUUAUAUAUCCCAUUACAAGAAUACAGUAGAUAUAAACCACAGAGAGUGCCUUUGUUGGUCUAUUUUUAUUAGCAAAUAUGCAUGUACAUGUGGCAUGUUAGAACAAUAAACAUCGAUGACGUAUUUAUUAACUCAUUUUCAUGAGGUACAAAAAUGUCAAUUUGACCACAAUGUAUUCUGUAUUUAAUUUGUUGCCAACCAUUUACAGUAACUGGUACAGUUUACCAUCUCACUGGUAAUACACCGUACCUCUGUCUACUCAGGUGAAUUAAAAUGUUAUGUGAGUUAUGGUAACAGGGAAUUAAAUGUUGGGGGUGUGGUAGACUUCCUGGGGAGUAGGAUUACUGCCAGUCAACAUGGAAAACAGAAGAGAUGGGUCAUUAGGCUUGAACACAGACUUAUACUUAGGCUGCAGUGCAGGCAUUAUUUUAGAACGGAACGUUUAUUAAACCAUGUUUUUGAUGUCA